GACGAACGCUGGCGGCGUGCCUAAUACAUGCAAGUAGAACGCUGAAGAGAGGAGCUUGCUCUUCUUGGAUGAGUUGCGAACGGGUGAGUAACGCGUAGGUAACCUGCCUUGUAGCGGGGGAUAACUAUUAGAAACGAUAGCUAAUACCGCAUAACAAUGGAUGACACAUUUUACUUAUUUGAAAGUGGCUAUUGUUCCACUACAAGAUCGACCUACGUUGUAUUAGCUAGUAGGUGAGGUAAUGGCGCCCCUAGGCGAGGUUACAUAGCCGACCUGCGAGGGUGGGUGGCCGGACUGGGACGGAGACACGGCCCAGAGGGCUUGGGGAGGCACCAGUACGGAAUCGUCAGGCAGGGGUGCAACACAGAGCAAGCAACGCCGAGUGAGUGAAGAAGGUUGUCGGGUCGUGGAGGUCUGUUGUAAGUUAAGAACGGGUGUGUGAGUGGAAAGUUCAGACAGUGACGGUAGCUGAAGAAAAAGCGACGGCUAACUACGUG
rnacentral:rRNA from 1 species